GAUCGGAGCCUGGAGCCGGUGUGUGCUGGGUGCCGAGAAGAGACAGCGCCGCCGGCCGUGGGGAGCGGACGCAGUGAUUUGCUCCCCCUCGUGCAGCAACCCCCACACCCAGCACCAGGCCCCCAGAACUCUCCUUCCAGCUGAACUCCCUGGGAACAAGUCAGUUGGGCUGAUCACUGAACUCACAUUUCUGGACCUGAGGAGCCUGUUCCUCUCACGCCCUCACCUGGCUGAGCCGCAGUAGUUCUUCAGUGGCAAGCUUUAUGUCCUGACCCAGCUAAAGCUGCCAGUUGAAGAACUGUUGCCCUCUGCCCCUGGCUUCGAGGAGGAGGAGGAGCUGCUUUCCCCAUCAUCUGGAAGGUGACAGAAAUGGGCUGGGAAGGUCCGAACAGCAGGGUGGAUGAUACGUUUUGGGCAAGUUGGAGAGCCUUUGCCCAGAUUGGCCCAGCAAGGAGCGGUUUUAGAUUAGAGACACUGGCUGGAUUGAGGAGUAGAAGGCUCAAACAACCCAAGCCCUGAUCCAUUCUCACCUAGCGGCUACAGGAAGCUGUGUCUG
rnacentral:lncRNA from 1 species